rnacentral:rRNA from 1 species
CCUACGGGAGGCAGCAGUGAGGAAUAUUGGUCAAUGGGCGUAAGCCUGAACCAGCCACGUCGCGUGAGGGAUGAAGGUUCUCUGGAUCGUAAACCUCUUUUAUAAGGGAAUAAAGUGUGGGACGUGUCCUAUUUUGUAUGUACCUUAUGAAUAAGGAUCGGCUAACUCGGUGCCAGCAGCCGCGGUAAUACGGCGGAUCCGAGCGUUAUCCGGAGUUAUUGGGUUUAACGGGUGCGUAGGCGGCCUUUUAAGUCAGCGGUGAAAGUCUGUGGCUCAACCAUAGAAUUGCCGUUGAAACUGGGGGGCUUGAGUAUGUUUGAGGCAGGCGGAAUGCGGGGUGUAGCGGUGAAAUGCUUAGAUAUCACGCAGAACCCCGGUUGCGAAGGCAGACUGCCAAGCCAUGACUGACGCUGAUGCACGAAAGCGUGGGGAUCAAACAGGAUUAGAUACCCCUGUAGUC